UGGGGAAUCUUGGACAAUGGGCGCAAGCCUGAUCCAGCCAUGCCGCGUGAGUGAAGAAGGCCUUCGGGUUGUAAAGCUCUUUUACCAGGGACGAUAAUGACGGUACCUGGAGAAUAAGCCCCGGCAAACUUCGUGCCAGCAGCCGCGGUAAUACGAAGGGGGCUAGCGUUGUUCGGAUUUACUGGGCGUAAAGCGCGUGUAGGCGGGUCGUUAAGUUGGGGGUGAAAUCCCGAGGCUCAACCUCGGAACUGCCUUCAAAACUGGCGACCUGGACCUAAGUAGAGGCAAGUGGAAUUGCGAGUGUAGAGGUGAAAUUCGUAGAUAUUCGCAGGAACACCAGUGGCGAAGGCGACUUGCUGGACUUAUGGUGACGCUGAGACGCGAAAGCGUGGGGAGCAAACAGGAUUAGAUACCCGCGUAGUCCCUGAGCGGGCUGGCAAGGCGCAU
rnacentral:rRNA from 1 species